rnacentral:RNase_P_RNA from 2 species
GCGGAAAAACAGGCGAGCGCUGUAACUCAUCAUGUUAAAGAGGAAAGUCCGGGCUCCACAAAAACACAACGCCGAGUAACGCUCGGCCAAGGUAACUUGAGGGAUAGUGCAACAGAAAAAAUACCGCCUUUUUUUAAAGGUAAGGGUGAAAUGGUGCGGUAAGAGCGCACCGCGUUAGGAGUAAUUCUAUAUGGCAUGGUAAACCCCGUUGGGAGCAAAGCCAAAUAAAAGUGAUCAAGUAUAAAAAAUACUGUGCGAUGUUUUUGCGCAAUGUCACUUGGGUAGGCUGCUAAAGCACUUUAGUAAUAAAGUUGCGUAGAUAAAUGAUCGCCACGACAGAACCCGGCUUAUAGUUUUUCCGCUUUU